GAUGAACGCUAGCGGCAGGCCUAACACAUGCAAGUCAGGGGUGACAUAGAAAAGCUUGCUUUUCUGAUGACGACCGGCGCACGGGUGCGUAACGCGUAUACAACCUACCUUUUAGCGGGGAAUAGCCCAGGGAAACUUGGAUUAAUGCCCCAUAGUAUAUGGACUUCUCCUGAAGUUUAUAUUAAACAUUUAUGGCUAUUAGAUGGGUAUGCGUCCUAUUAGUUAGUUGGUAAGGUAACGGCUUACCAAGGCAGCGAUAGGUAGGGGUCCUGAGAGGGAGAUCCCCACACUGGUACUGAGACACGGACCAGACUCCGUACGGGAGGCAGCAGUGAGGAAUAUUGGACAAUGGGCGAGAGCCUGAUCCAGCCAUGCCGCGUGCAGGAAGACUCGCCCUAGUGGGUUGUAAACUGUCUUUUACAGAGGAAGAACCCACCCCCACGUGUGGGGGUUUGACGGUACUCUGCGAAUAAGGAUCGGCUAACUCCGUG
rnacentral:rRNA from 1 species